GAUGAACGCUGGCGGCGUGCCUAAUACAUGCAAGUCGAGCGAACAGACGAGGAGCUUGCUCCUCUGACGUUAGCGGCGGACGGGUGAGUAACACGUGGAUAACCUACCUAUAAGACUGGGAUAACUUCGGGAAACCGGAGCUAAUACCGGAUAAUAUAUUGAACCGCAUGGUUCAAUAGUGAAAGACGGUUUUGCUGUCACUUAUAGAUGGAUCCGCGCCGCAUUAGCUAGUUGGUAAGGUAACGGCUUACCAAGGCAACGAUGCGUAGCCGACCUGAGAGGGUGAUCGGCCACACUGGAACGGAGACACGGUGCAGACUCCUACGGGAGGCAGCAGUAGGGAAUCUUCCGCAAUGGGCGAAAGCCUGACGUAGCAACGCCGCGUGAGUCAUGAAGGUCUUCGGAUCGUAAAACUCUGUUAUUUGGGAAGAACAAAUGUGUAAGUAACUAUGCACGUCUUGACGGUACCUGAUCAGAAAGCCACGGCUAACUACGUG
rnacentral:rRNA from 1 species